UUGAAAGGGAAACGAUUGAAGUCAGUCGUACCAGCGGGUAAUCAGCCUUUUGGGCAUGAUUCUGCGGAGCGUGAGGAGUUAAACGCCUUCAUGCCUGCAUAUUCGUGUACUUUGGGUGUACUUGCCUGUGUGGUUAGUUAACAUCAAUUUUGGUUAUCAUAAAAUGGCUGGAGGAAUGUAGCUUCGAUUUCGAUUGAAGUGUUAUAGCCUUCGGCAGAUGUGAUGAUCGGGAUUGAGGAUUGCAACGGAUACCCUUCGGGGCUACCUGUCUGGUCUCUGAUCGUUGCUCUGGUGCCGAAAGCGUGCUUACGGUUAUCAAAGUCGAUGGUCAAUAGGUUAGAACGGGUUAAAUUCGUUAAGGAUGUUGACGUA
rnacentral:rRNA from 1 species